rnacentral:snoRNA from 1 species
AAUCCAUGGUGAGGGCACCUUCUCAAUAGAUCUUUGUAUAUCUCCCAUGCAUCAUAAAGUUUUUCUAAAUCCAUCUGUAUGAAAGAAAAGAUAUCAUUCCGUAAUU